rnacentral:rRNA from 1 species
CAGUAGCCGCGGUAAUACGGAGGGUGCAAGCGUUAAUCGGAAUUACUGGGCGUAAAGCGCACGCAGGCGGUCUGUCAAGUCAGAUGUGAAAUCCCCGGGCUUAACCUGGGAACUGCAUUUGAAACUGGCAGGCUAGAGUCUUGUAGAGGGGGGUAGAAUUCCAGGUGUAGCGGUGAAAUGCGUAGAGAUCUGGAGGAAUACCGGUGGCGAAGGCGGCCCCCUGGACAAAGACUGACGCUCAGGUGCGAAAGCGUGGGGAGCAAACAGGACUAGAUACCCCAGUAGUCCCUGUCUCUUAUAC